rnacentral:rRNA from 1 species
CACGUAGGGGACGAGCGUUGUCCGGAUUCAUUGGGCGUAAAGCGCGCGUAGGCGGCUUUGUAAGUUAGAGGUGAAAGCCCGGAGCUCAACUCCGGAAUUGCCUUUAAGACUGCAUCGCUAGAAUCAUGGAGAGGUGAGUGGAAUUCCGAGUGUAGAGGUGAAAUUCGUAGAUAUUCGGAAGAACACCAGUGGCGAAGGCGACUCACUGGACAUGUAUUGACGCUGAGGUGCGAAAGCGUGGGGAGCAAACAGG